UACGUAGGGCGCAAGCGUUAUCCGGAAUUAUUGGGCGUAAAGAGCUCGUAGGCGGUUUGUCGCGUCUGCCGUGAAAGUCCGGGGCUCAACUCCGGAUCUGCGGUGGGUACGGGCAGACUAGAGUGAUGUAGGGGAGACUGGAAUUCCUGGUGUAGCGGUGAAAUGCGCAGAUGUCAGGAGGAACACCGAUGGCGAAGGCAGGUCUCUGGGCAUUAACUGACGCUGAGGAGCGAAAGCAUGGGGAGCGAACAGG
rnacentral:rRNA from 1 species